GAUGAACGCUGGCGGCGUGUCUAAUACAUGCAAGUCGAGCGAACAGACGAGGAGCUUGCUCCUCUGACGUUAGCGGCGGACGGGUGAGUAACACGUGGAUAACCUACCUAUAAGACUGGGAUAACUUCGGGAAACCGGAGCUAAUACCGGAUAAUAUAUUGAACCGCAUGGUUCAAUAGUGAAAGACGGUUUUGCUGUCACUUAUAGAUGGAUCCGCGCCGCAUUAGCUAGUUGUUAAGUUAACGGCUUACCAAGGCAACGAUGCGUAGCCGACCUGAGAGGGUGAUCGGCCACACUGGAACUGAGACACGGUCCAGACUCCUACGGGAGGCAGCAGUAGGGAAUCUGACGCAAUGGGCGAAAGCCUGACGGAGCAACGCCGCGUGAGUGAUGAAGGUCUUCGGAUCGUAAAACUCUGUUAUUAGGGAAGAACAAAUGUGUAAGUAACUAUGCACGUCUUGACGGUACCUAAUCAGAAAGCCACGGCUAACUACGUG
rnacentral:rRNA from 1 species